rnacentral:rRNA from 1 species
GGCUGUUCAACCUCCUCCCAGUCACAGUUGAUCUCAAGGCUCUCAAUCCGAUCGCGGAUCGGGUUCAGAGCAGCAAGGCAUGCUGCAGUGUGCAGAAACCGGCAGUGCAGCACACUGACCUCCUUCAAUGUCGGCCGGAGCGCCACAGCUAGCCUCCUGAUCCCAUCUGACGUGACAAGGUUACAUCCUUGGAUCGCAAACUUGGCAAGCCUCCCACAGCCACGGCCGAUCGCCGCAAGGCUGGCGUCGGUGAGAUCCUCGCAAUUCUUGAUGCAGAGCAACUCCAGCCCGCCGCACACGGCGACGCCGUCGAGAUGCAACCAGGCGGCCUUGCACAGCCCCUGGAAGCACCCCAGCGUCAGGACCUUAAUCCGCGGGCACCUGCGUGCGAGCUCCUCCAUCGCCGGAGCUGCCUCGAGCACAUUGUGCUGGAGGUCCAGCGUGAGGUCCUCCAGCCCAGGGAGCGCGGCAAAGAAGGCGACGAGCCCCACGGCGGUAAUGCCCGCCUCCUCCCGCUGGCUGGUGGACGCCGGCUCGAAGGGCUCGCUGAGGCGCAGGACGGUGAGCCGGGGGCAGCUGACGGCGAGCGAGCGCAGCGCGUCGUCGCCGACGUGGUCGACGUAGCGGGGGUUGAAGACGCAGGGCGCGACGAGCCUCCGGAGGCCGGGGCAGGCGGUCGCGAUGGCCCCGAGCUCGGCGGCGUGGAAGCCGUUGGAGGCGCCGGCGAGGCCGAGGUCGAGGUCGGUGAGCCUGGCGGCGGCGGCCGGGUGCGCGUCGAGCGCCGGCACGACGUCCUCCGUCCAGCAGUAG